UAGGAGUCAUCUGACCUGAACUGAAACAUGUCAGGGUUAAAAUUCUACAUAUGAGUCUGUUACCUAGUCUUCUGCUAAAAUCAUUGUGUGCAGUAGAGGAAACUGUCCACAUAGUUUAUCCCAGCUGCAUUAGAACAGGUAAGUUGCUUCUAGAGAUACCUUACUCCCUCUAUUCCUUAUACAUUCUAAAUAUAUAUUUUAAAUGAUCUGCAUAUGUAUAGUCUAACAUCUAGAAUAUAAGAAAUAUUAAUAAACUCAGAGGAAUGUUUAGUUGCUCCCAUACAACAUGAUCUCAUCAGUAGUUGAAGGUUACUAUUGUAUAACUGGUCAGUAAACUAAAAAUAUUAGAGCAGUACCUAUCUGAAAAGAAAGGAAGCUCAUAUUCAUCAAAGUCUUAUAAUUACUGGACAUAUUUACAAGGGUAGAAAUCCUGGACCAAUACUCUUAAAGUAUGAGAAACCUGUUUUCCAAGGUUUUCCUGUUCAAAUUCCCCUUCAUUACAGUAGUUUAUGACUUAAGUUUCUUUACAGCAGCACUCUUGAGUUUACGUACCUACAGGAACACUGUGAAGUCCAGCUAUGAAAGAUCUUCAGUCAAGAGACAUUUAAACACCAGAAUCUUUUUAACGCUAAGGUAACAUAAGCAUAUCACUACAUGUGAUAUUCAACUGCACUUGAGAGUAAUUACUAAAGUUACUCAGUCAAUUUUAAAUACACUACUUCAUUUCAAGAAGGUUUGUCUGUCUAAUGUUCAUGCAACAGUGUAUAAAAAAUAACACUUGAAUUAACAGAACACCACUAUACUGAUUACAGUUAUAGUGGCUUUCAACUGUGAAAUAAUUUAAAUGUGAGAAUUGAAGAAUCAACAAGUAACUUCAUAAAUGGAGAUUGGUAGACAUGGAUAUGGUGGCUACUGUGUUUCUUCUGAGUAUCUGCACAUGGCAAUUUCAGGAGAGUUUUCAAAUGAAGAUAAAAUAAAACCAUUUGUGCAUAAUGAAAACUGGAUUGUGUCACUCGCAAAGCAUCUCAUGUAGGAGGCAGUACUGAUGCAGUGAUUCCUAGGAAAUCACCAGAUGAAGAGGGACUUCUCCAUUCCCUGAUCUCCCUUAAGCAAUCUCAGCAAACUCUGAAUUGUCUUUCUGCAUGGUGAAGACUGCUCUGAGAAAAUGCAACUCUCCCUCUGUAAGCUUGUCUUCCCUGAGAGAACUCAAAGGAAGAAAAAAAAAAAGAAAAAGAGCCUUGACAACAAUUCUGAGACCUUCACAAUGUCUCCUUGCACCUCUCCACUGCAUGCUUUUUUUAUGAACAGCAAGACAGAUAAGUCAUCAUGUUACAUUUUAUCUAUUUUCUUUACAGUGAAAUUGUGUGUUCCCCUAGCAGUAAGAGAACUAAAUACAAGCAUGCAUUUUAUUAAAAUACUCCUUUUAAAAUAAUACAAAUAAAGGGAAAUAGUUUCUAAACCUUUAUUAAUGCGGAUUUCUGGGCAUCAAAGUAAAAAACAAACAAACAAACAUGUUGGGUAACUAAAUAUGAGGCCUGAUCAUCAAAGAUUAUGAAUGUUGUCAGGUCUGUUACUACUGUUACUAUUUGCAGUCACCCUGACCCAAUACUUUGUACAUCUAAAUGUCUGAUCUUCAUGACAUAUACAGGAUCCAAGCAUCAAAGCCCUGAGUAUCCACUUCCCUGUCUUAUAGCCACUCACUCUACUCUUCAGUUUGAAAUACAGGUGCAACAAUAAGACCGCUGUGCUUGAUAAUCAAUCAAUAAAUAAAUAGUGUAAGACAAGAGAAACUUUUUAAGCUGUUAAUCGAUACAGUUUAAAACAUACUUCCAAGUACUGCCAAGGUUAACAUCUGAAUGGACUGUCUACCACAUACAUCUCAGCAUGGUUACAAUUUAUUAUAAUACAAAAGAGAUAUUUACAUGCAUGCACCACCCUCAUUCCUUUCCUGCCAGGCUUAGGUGUUUUUUAUUUGUUUAUUUCUUUUGUUCUUUGUUUUCUUGUUAUGUUUUUCAGUUGAUUUUUUUUUUUCCAAAUUCAAACUAUUAGGUAACAGUUUGGGGGAAUAUUACUUUGAUAUAUAUCAAAGUAUUUUAAAAAGAGGAAAAAAAAUAUCUUUAUUAAGAAGAUCAUAAAUAGAGUCAUAUUUUUAAGGUUCAAAUUUUAUUAAACUUGAAUUUAAAACCAGAAUCACCAUUUUGAUGCUUUGGGACAAGGUCCCAUUUCAUUUACACUUACAUAUCAUUUUUAAAGUAUUUCAUUGAAGAUUCUAUGUUAUCAUCUCUUUCCUAGGUCUACCCUUAAAUUGUAUUUCUGUUAUUGAUUUGAAUACUUUCAUACCAAUGUAUAAAUUGCAUUAAGAGAUUAAAAUCUAUUUAGUGUCUAAAAAUGUCUGUGGGCCAGUUAUAUUUUGGUUGUAAAAACAAGUAAGUGAAUGAACUAACAAAUGAAUACAUAAAUAAGUAAAAUUAAAACAGCUAGAAAAACAUUAGCAUCUGACUUUUCCUAAAUACGGGUUAAAGGUGUACGUGAGCAGACCUGGGUAAAAUGUCUACCCAGAAAAUAAAUUCUGAGUAUACAAAGUUUUGUCUACAGUUGUGAAACAUGACAGCCAUCCUGGUACCAAAGACAGAGUAAGUACAGAGAUGUGUUUGGGACCUAUGUGUGCUUGGAGCAGAAAAUAUUUGUUGCACUUGCACUGUUGUUGGCAUGGGAAAUACUAAAGUCAUGCAUGUCCAUGCACAGCGUAGUCAUCUUCAUCUUCUACGUGAACAUAUCCACAGCCUAAUAUAGGUGUUAGGUGAUGUAUAAUAUCAGGUGAUUUAAUUUUACCCAAAUGUAGAAGAUUUUAUAUUUAAAAUCUAAGUAGAAGAUAUUUAACUUAAUGUGUGUUAGAAAAAUGUUACAGAAUUGACUGUGCAAAACAAUGAAAAAUACUCGGAGGAAAUAUUAUAGAUGUUUGAGAUUAUUAAUCAUUGCAUACUUUACUUCCUCAGGGAACAGAGUACAUAUUAACAAAAUUCUUUUGUUAUUAAAUCAGAAGGCAAUUUGUACAGAUUUGUACAGGCAUUUGUACAGAUUUUUAACAGAACAUGCACAUCAUGAGAGAUUCUGUGUUGAUGAUGUGAUGUGUUAAGAACAAUGGCCAGCAGGUCAGGCACGUAUCCUCUUCUGAGAAAGCGCAAAGCAUAAUCUGUCAAACUAUUUAACAAGGCUGCAGUUUUAUGAAGAAUACAUUUUUAUUUACAAGGCAAAGUAAGUGCCAGAGCAGACUGCAAUAUAUUGCAAGCAACAAACACACCAAAUAAAAGACUUAAAAAUACAGCUAUCACAGAAUAACAGCAUGUUUGAGGUUGGAAGGGACCUCCAGAGAUCAUCUAGUCCAACUCCUCUGCUCAAACAGGGUCACCUAGAGCACCUUAUACAGGAUCACAUCCAGGCAGGUUUUGAGUAUCUCCAAAGAAGGAGACUCGACAACCAUGCUUUCCAAUACUCCACUGAAACCAAAAAUUAUAUCAAAACAUAUUUAUUAAAAAUAAGGGAAUAAAAAGAAAGAGAAUAUAUCAGAAGUGAAUAUUUUUUUCUUUCUGAUAACAACAUACAGCUUCUAUUCAGACUUCAUAAUCUGAAGCAUGGAGAUUUUAUCAGGAAAGUAGAUAAUGUUCAUAUGAUGUAUUCACAGAAUGAGGACACCACAGACAUCCAAGCUAGCAAUAUGAAAAGAAAUAUAUAUCUAUAUAUUUACUAAGAUUGGACAGUGUCAGGAAAGUUGUUCUGAGGAGACUAUUAAAUUCUAUAAUUCUGGCAUUGGCCCUUUUGCAACAGGCUUCAUAUCAGACUGAGCAAUUUGGAGAGCUUAAAUCAGUUCACAGCCCUUUUAACAAGCAUCUACAUGCAAGAUAAUGUGUUUUUAACCAUCUUAUGAUGGUGAACAGAAGUGACAUGGAGAUGACUAAGAUUCAAACAAUGAUGUCUAUCACUAGAUAUUCCAUUGACUCUAGCAUUAGAUGUUAUACAAACAUUAUCUAUAUGCCAAGACUACCUCCUCGUGAAGUUUAUGGAAAUUGUGAACAUAUAUUUGUUAUAUUGUAGUGAUGAAGAUUGACCCUGUUUCUAAUAGAGCUGCAAAAAUAAAAAAAAAAGCAAUUCCUAAUUUAAUUUGCACUUCAUUUCCCAUUAUAAGAUUCUUUCUCCUUAAUACCCUAUUGCUCUGUCACACUCACCUUUAUCUUCAUCAUGAGCUUUGUCAUUGAGACAGAUUGCUAUUUUAUAUCAGAACGGUUUCAUAUACCCUUGCCUUUCUCACUGGAAUCUUUAGGAGAGUCUUUAGGACCAGCUAUUCCAUAGUUAGCAUGAAUCUCUACUUUGGAUUCAGUGGGGCUACAUACGAUGGAUUUGAACAGAACAAAAUAGAACAGAACAGAACAGUUCAGUUGGAAGGGACCUACAAAGAUCCUCAAGUCCAACUGCCUGACCACUUCAGGACUAGCCAAAAGUUAAAGCAUGUUAUUGAAGACGUUAUCUAAAUGCCUUCUGAAAAUUGAUAGGCACUGGGAAUCUCUAGGAAGCCUGUUCCAGUGUUUGACCACCCUCAUGGUACAGAAUUUCUUCCUCAUACCCACUCUAACUCUUUCCGGUGCAGCUUUGUGCUGUUCCCACAAGUCCCUAUCAUCGCUGACCAGCACCUCCCUCUAAGCUUUCCCUCCUCAGGAAGUUGCAGAGAGCAAUGAGGCUGACUUUUUUUUCAGACUGGACAACCCAAGACUCACCACAUAUGUCAUCAUAGGAUAUGUCUUCCAGCCCUUUUACCAGCUUUGCUGCACUCCUCUGGAUGCAUACAAGUCAUUUUAACAUCCUUUUUAUAUUGUGGAGACCAGAACUGCACAUAGUAUUCAAGGUGCCAGGGCACACUGUUGGCUUGCACUGAGCUGCUGAUAACCAGAAACCUCAAAUUCCUUUGCUGCUGAUCUGCUAUCCAGACACUUGUCUUCCAAGUGAAACUUGAUCUUGGUAAAAAGGAAAGCAAUGGAUAGGUUUCACAGUCGACCAUUCUAGGAAAGCCACAACAUAAGAGCUCUACAAAAGCAAAGAUAUUUCAAAUCAGGUAAAAUUUUGGAAAUUUCAUAUUUUAUUGCAUGUUGUGAAGGGAAAACAGAGGUUUCUCUGUAUAUCUAACAAUUCUAUAAGAUACCCUAUAAACAGAGUACAGAAAAAGAAGACAUUGUACUUACAUUAAUUUCCUCAAACCUGUGUUUUGCUGUCUCUCCCUAGACUAUUUUGCCAACUGUCCUUGCUGUCUUCAUAGCUUUUUAAUAUGUUGCCAUAAACUUUCCCAUUAUUCACUUGAAUUUUAUUUGCUUGAAUUUUAUCUGUUUACAACUGCACUUAUAUUUUUCUUUCCUACAGAGGAUUAAGCAUAGCAGAGUACUUUCUAAAUCACAUAUCUUGCCUUGGAAGUAAAGAGUGUUCAGAGCUAAAUGAAUGUUCGUGAAAUAUUCAGUGAAUCAAUACAGUGUAAUUUCAGUGUCCAAAAAUACUUCUCCAGAUAGUUAUUUCCCAGUAGUAAUAUUUAUUAACAAUUUGUUCUUUAAUAUUUGUUCUUCAAUGGAAUUUAAUAACAAAACUCUUGGAUACCUUUACAGUGCUAAAAUGACCUAAAAAUUUGUUCUAAAAAUAUGUAAUUAAAGCAGU